AUGCACUCAGCCAGGUCUCUUUCGCUUCAGAAGUGUUGGGCCCACUUGUUAGUCUCUUUGGGUAGGUGUGGAGCCAGGUGAAAGCUUGCGGGGUGGCUCGGUGCGCGAUUGGUGGUGUGGAUGCCGGAUGGGACGCGAGCAGUAAAACCUAGCUACCAAUCCGCUCACUUCCUCGAGCCCCACGCAACUCCACUUUCUCUUCGUUCCUCUCCUCCUCCUUCACGAUUCCCAGCGCGUGGCUGCCGCCGCUCAUCCUUCUCCUCUUCUCUCCCGUGCCACCAGGUCGCUGUUGCGUGAAUCCGGGCGGAUCCGGUCCCUAGGCGGCAUGAGGCUGCGGAUCCGACGAGGUCACGGUGGCGGCCGACGGCUUUCUUGUUGUGCUCUCUGAGAGCCGCGGGAGGAGAAGGAACAGAGGAGGGAGGGAUGCGGCAGGGCGACGGUUGCUUCGCUGUUGUUUUUGGCCGUGGGGAGGCGUGCUGAACCUGCAGGCUCGACCUAGCAGGACCGGCAGGUGCAGAGGCGCGUGCGAGGAGCGCUGUCGGCCCAUCGUUCUUUCUUCGUCAGGAAGGGCGCAGCCUGCUACUCAAGCCCCUCUCCUUCUCUCCUUCCAGAGGAGAGGCACGGGCGCCCCCACACUGGAGAGAUGGACGAAGACAUGAAGCUUUCGCGGAGACGACGAGGUGGCCGCUGCUGCACCCCCAUUCCAUGGACACGAAGAUUCCUGUCCUCUCUGCCAUCGAUAACGACACUUCUCAUCGAUAACGGCACUUCUCGGCAGGCGCAGACCGCAUGGCCGUCUUCCUCUCUGGCCCAUCAGAUUCAGACCCUAUCCCUCUUCCUCUGCAUCUCUGUUAAAAUAUGCUCAGGUCAACUAGGAGAUGAUACAAGCCAAGGCGCUCACACUGAUUUAAGAUGUUUGCUCUAUGUUUGGUCAUAUUGUUCCUAGCGGUCUUGGAAGUAUAUUCAAGUUUUAAUAGAUGCAAUCCAUGGUCCUGAGAUCGGCAAAGUUUGUGGCAUCCUUCUUCCUUAUGUAUUGUGUCUAAUUGCCUUUGGUCAUAAAUAGCAAGACACUGAUGGAGGAGCCGUCCAGCUCAUGUUGUGACUGUUCCAGCUUUCUGUGCUAAGAAAUCACUGACUGCCAGGAAAGGGAAGUGGACUGUGUGCCAGAGAGCGGUUUAUCUUUGCCCGUCAACUACAUAUCAAUUGACAGACGAUCGACGAGGCUCUCUGUCGCAGCUGUGUGCCUGAUCAACAAGCCAAAUAUUUUGACUCUGCUUGCUAAUGUGUCUGAAGAGAAGAUAUCAGUGAUGGUGGACCUGGUGAUGAGGGCAUCAAGACAAAGAGAUUAAUUCACAACUCUGUUCUUGAUAGGUUGCCGCAUUCCUCGCAGAUUUACCACUCCUUCCGUCUCCUGGAAUCACUAAAUGAGAUCUUGGAAGCUAAUAGAGUUGAAGAAUCACAUGGUAAUGUACACACGAUGCAUUUCAUUUUCCCAAACACCUUCAGUGAACCUUGGCAUCUCCCCCCCACCCUAGCAGAACAUAUUACAAAGAUUGUGUAUGUAUGAUUGUCUUCAAACCUAGCCACUCUGAUUUGGCCUUUCUGAUCAUUUUGUUUAAUAGUCUCCAGUGCUUUGGUCGUUCGCUAUUAUGAUUCAAAUAUACCUUGGCUGUUGGACGUCCUAUUGAAAUGACACAAUUCAUGCUUAUUUGUGUUGUGUCUGGAUUUUCAUGUAUGAGGACGCAUUUAAUCGAUGAUAUGAACACUCUUGCAGCUUAUCAGUGCUGGGAAGGAUCAAUUUAUAGUAUCUUCUGUAUACUUGCAUACCAUCCGUCCGUCAACUGAUGAGACGCUAAGAUGACGAGAAUGGACUGCGCAUUCUACAUGUACAUGAACCUGAAGCACUACUCCAGUGAUGGAACAACAGUAACCUUAAAGCCAGAACAAGUACGAAAGUUGAGGAAAAAGGUUCUAUAUCAACUAAUCAGCCAACACAGAGGGAAUACAAAACUGUCAAUAAUCAAGUGUACAACAGAUAUGCUGAAAUAUGAAGUAGAUAUGGAAGACAAAGAAAUGCAACAAGCAGAAUGUUGCGUACUAGAAGAGUUUCCGCCAACUACCGGGCCAAAAGAACAUAUUAUGCAUGCGGCAACCACACAAGAGCAUGAGGUUAUUGAUAUAUCCAGUGAACACAAAUAUAUUAUGGAUGUCAGCAGCCACGCCGUCGCCCAACAAUCUUUCACAGUCCACGAACAAAAUGAUCCACCAAUAGAACCAGAUCAACCACCACCAGACGACAAGAUACCACAACAUGCCGAAGAUGAAACAGACGAGCAAAAUAUCAACAGCAAUAUCACGACCACAGAGCAACUGGAACAAACAGGCACUGAUUUAAAAGAGGAUGACAGAAGCAACGACAUACCAAAUACACAACAACAGGUUUCCGAGCAGAAGAAACAACCUGUUCUUCUUCAAGAAGAAACAGGCUCAACAAGCAAUCAUCAAGGCACCUCCAGCACCAUCUCUUUAGACUUCCUAAAACCAAAAACAAUGGAAAAGCAGGAAAAAAUUGACGAAUUUCUUUCAAGCCUUAACCCACUACAACUAGAGGUGUACAACAACCAUAUAAAGAUGGGCUGUAACUUCGAUUUAAUCAAAACAUGGCUCAACGAGCAUGAAAGCUAUGAAUUCAACAAAAAUCCCAAGCCGUAUCUGACAAUCUUGUAGCAAGAGCCAGGAGAACAUUCAAUGCCUCAAUCAUCUGAGAACAGUUCAAACAAGAAAAUCUCGGUCAAGAAAAGGUCGGUAAAGCCUUCAAGAAGGCCCCUUGGAGAAAUCAAGAUUCCUACAUUUGUCCCAUGAGAUUUCAAAUUCAUAAACAAAGCCAGAGUACUCCAUGAAUACCUAUUCAGCAAAGAAGGACAGGACGAAUGCGGAGAUCUAAACAUAUAUAUUAGCUCGAAGUGAUACGAUUGGAUUACAGGAAAACAAAUAAUGGCACAACUAAUGAAAGGAGAUGAUGGACAGAUGAAGGGCUCCAUUGCAAACGCAUUGUUCGAUGAAUGGACAUCGCAGCAACAAUACAACACAACCGAUAAAGCCAUACUUCCCGUAGAAUUUGCAAACGUCGUGCUCGGUGUUAAAACUGGAGAGGAAAGUGGACUAGCAGAAUUCAAUGAGGAAGAAGCAUUGAAAGAGUUUACACCCCUUGUAACAGGCAAGGAACUUUUAAAGAAAAAGCUGAUUAUGAUACCUCACAACACAGAUAAACACUACACACUGUACGUGCUCAACAAGUACACGAACUCCAUCGACAUACUUGACUCACUGAAUUACAGACACGGAGAUGAAAAAAAAACAUGGAAAACACACCAUAAGGACCACAAAGAACUGAUUAAAAGGAAGCACGGACUCAUGAAGAAGCAUUACGGCGAAACGGAGCUACAAGCCAACAACGAACCAAACUGGUCGAGGAUAGCACAAACACCUAACAGAGUUUGCGUGCCAAAACAGUAGGGUACCCAAUGCGGACACAUCAUGGCUCAAUUUGCAAAAUACUAGAAUGGCAUUGAACUCAUAAAAGAUGAUGAGGAUUUCGAUCAAAGCAACGUAGAUGCCGAGUGGAAACCAGAGUUCUUUUUUACAGCCAUAUUUGGUGAAACAAACCAAGUAAAGUGGGAAGAACUACCUGGAAGAAUCAAAGAAUUCAAACGAGAAACUUCAAAGUUCUUCUCCACCAAAAAAGAUGAAACAAAAAGGAAAAAAAGACAAAGCACCAGUCCAUAUCCAAAACAUUCUCACUGCUUCCAACACACAGAGGAGGCGUCCGACCUCUUCCAUCUAGUCAUGAGCGACAGCUGGCAGGAGAAAUACAAAAGCAAAGCUAUAUUUAGGCGCAUCCUCAGGGACAGUGAAAGCACGCAACUUACUGGAGCCCAGCUGAAGGCAGUAUUUGGUCCAAGACCAGCACAGACGAACAAAUGACAUCAUAUGGAAAAGAGGAUCUUCGAUGACAUAGCAGAAAUCUGAGAAAGCAGACAAGAAUCAAAACAGAGUGACAGAGUAAUAUUAGGCCCAAACUUUGCAGAGCACAUAUUGGAUUUGAAGAAACACACAACUACUAUUACAAAAUUUAAAAAUGAGUUGCAAAAAACAAAGAAUCAGCUCGUUCCCAUGUAUCUCAAGAAAAAUCAACGGAAAAAGCUCUCAACAGCAAACAUGGUAUUCAUUCCAAUGGAGAAGCAUGACCGCUAUGUACUAUAUAUGCUGGACAAAUACAAACACAAAGUUCACAUUAUUGAUCCUCGAGAAACAACUCACGAGGAAUUUGAAAAAGAAAAAGAUACACAUCGACAAAUUGACACCAUAAGAAGUACCUAGGUUUAAAGAAGUCUUCAACAUCAUACUAGGACAAACAAUGAAUGCCAAGGGUACAAGAUGGCAGACUCAUACCGUGCAAGAUGUUCCAGUCGUAGAAAAGGGAGAAUCAACAUUUGCUGUUUUAAAGCUUGCAUUCCUUUACAAUGGUGAAAAGUUUGUCGAAGACCUGGAAGAUUUGACAGAUGAGGUCGAAGACUGGAGGGCAGAGGCAAUGUACAGAUGAAUCAAGUCAAAGCUAGUGAAAUGGGUGAAGAUAUUAGCAAGAUCUUAAGCAAAAAUGAAGACUAAAACUUUUGAUUUAGCCCGCGAAGCUAAUUCUAUCUAGACGUGACAAAACAGUUUGUCAAUAACUCACAUUUAUAUGUAAUGUAGUUAGAAAUUACAUGUUCAUGUUGAAAAAAAACUAUUUCGACAACAGUGCGUCUUACAUCAUAAGAGAGCGCCAGUAAACUAUAAACAACAAUGCCUCUUCUUAUUUGUACAA